AUUGAACGCUGGCGGCAGGCCUAACACAUGCAAGUCGAACGAGUGGCGGACGGGUGAGUAAUGUCUGGGAAACUGCCUGAUGGAGGGGGAUAACUACUGGAAACGGUAGCUAAUACCACAUACCAUCAGAUGUGCCCAGAUGGGAUUAGCUUGUUGGUGGGGUAACGGCUCACCAAGGCGACGAUCCCUAGCUGGUCUGAGAGGAUGACAGGCCACACUGGAACUGAGACACGGUCCAGACUCCUACGGGAGGCAGCAGGGGGGAAUAUGGAACAAUGGGCGAAAGCCUGAUGCAGCCAUGGCGGGUGAAUGAAGAAGGCGUUCGGGUUGUAAAGUACUUUCAGCGGGGAGGCGUUACCCGCAGAAGAAGCACCGGCUAACUCCGUGCCAGCCGCCGCGGUAAUAC
rnacentral:rRNA from 1 species